AGAGUUUGAUCAUGGCUCAGAACGAACGUUGGCGGCGUGCUUAACACAUGCAAGUCGAACGAGAAAGUUCCUUCGGGAAUGAGUAAAGUGGCGCACGGGUGAGUAACGCGUAAGUAAUCUACCUUGGCAUUUGGAAUAACUACGGGAAGCUGUAGCUAAUACCAGAUACGUUCUCCUUUCUACGGAUUGGAGAAGAAAGAUGACCUCUUCUUGAAAGUUAUCGUGCUAAGAGGAGCUUGCGUACCAUUAGCUAGUUGGUAGGGUAAUGGCCUACCAAGGCAACGAUGGUUAGCGGGUCUGAGAGGAUGAUCCGCCACACUGGAACUGGAACACGGACCAGACUCCUACGGGAGGCAGCAGUGAGGAAUAUUGCGCAAUGGGGGAAACCCUGACGCAGCGACGCCGCGUGGAUGAUGAAGGCCUUAGGGUCGUAAAAUCCUGUCAGAUGGGAAGAAAUGUAUGUAAGAAUAAUACCUUAUGUGCUUGACGG
rnacentral:rRNA from 1 species